UAGAUAAUUAUGAUUAUUAUUUGAAAAUGUUGUUGUAGAGUAUGAGAUUUGGGGUUUAGUUGUUGGUAGGAUUAUUGAUUUUCUUAAGGCUAAAUCCAAAACCAUGUAAUAGGCAAAAUCUGAACCAUUAGAUGAUUAAAAUGCACAUAAGAAAACAAUACAAAGCACAUGGAUCAUCAAUAUUAAUCGUUGGAUACAAACCACAAAAGAAGCUAAACCGUUGGAUCGUCUUCUAACCUAUCACCUUUUCCCUCAUAUCUCUCCAAACCCAUAUUUCCUGCCCAACCUCCCUUCCUAGUUCAUACUUCUCUCAACUCAUGUUAUCAUCUCAAAUGUAGUAUUUUUUCGUCUGUAAAGUCGAGUUUAAGAUGGUGUAAAUUAUGGUUAUAUGAUGAACUUUGUGCUCGUUUGCUUCUUCUGGAUCUCUUUAUUUCUUAGCAAUUUAAUUUUAAAGCUUACAUUUGCAUUUGCACUUGACUGAUAUGAGUCUCAAUGCACCACAAUACAAGAUGUCAAGAUCGAAAAAAAGACGCCAAAGCAGGGCAUCAACGAGUUCAAGAUGGCGCAUCACCGACGGAGGCAUAAGCACCGACAUCUAGCGGUAGCAACGACAGAGCAGCAACAUCGGACAAGAACAGGGGAGAGAGAAAAUUCACAACGCACAACCGACAACGAGCAAGACCUGCCACAGCUCUGACGACCAAACGAAUCGCGGCUUAGCGACUGGUGGUAGGUCCGAGGAACCACCGUAGGUAAGGGCAAACAGGGAGAUGUAUCGAUUUUGAUUUUUCUUCCCUUCCUGCUUCAUUGUUGUUGCCUGCUUCAUUGUUGUUGCCUGCUUCAUUGUUGUUGGAUGAUCUAAAGAGCAGGUUAUGUAGAAGAUUUGAGCUAGAAGUUGAAGAAACAUCUUUCUUGCAAAUUUUUAAGUGAAGAAUGAAGAUGCAAUUUCAAGCACUGAAUUGUUUUUUUCUUUUUUGCCCAAAAUUUCUGUAAAUUACUUUAUUGUAGAUUCAUUAUUUAAUUUUCUGGAUGUAAAGUUAAAAAAUCAAUUCAAAUUUGCUGUAACUUUUAGUUCAUUGUAUAUGCUUUAACGUUUACUUCAAUAAGAAUGAAUUUCAUAUUCA